GGGCACCUACGGGGGCCUCAACCAUAUAGGCCCCACCCGUUGGGGCCGCCAAGCAAACGGAAGAAGCUA
rfam:Pseudooctadecabacter jejudonensis strain CECT 8397 genome assembly, contig: 0002